GGGGGAGGAGACAGGGACAUGGAAAGUUCUAGUCACAGUACAUGCUAGGAACUUUCACUUCUGUGCAUUCCAUUUUUGCAGAAUGUUAGAGCCAGGAAGCAUGGAAAGAACUUUCAUCUCAGUCCUGAAGGGUCCCCGUGGAAAUCAAUUCAAGCUUGACUUCUGAGUAAGAGAUGUGACCAGCACAAGAGAACAAGGCCAAGUUGACAACACAGAAAGAGGUGAUCCCAGCAUGAAGAAGUUAGGGUAUCUUCUUAUUCUUCCCCGAGAAGAAUUCCAUCCCCUGCCCUGGGAAAAGAAACCAGAACAGCUGAUGCCCUGUUUUUCCUUGCCAUACUGUCGGGAGAAGAGCAAAGCAACGAGCUCAAAUACUAGAAGACAACAGCAUCACAUGUUACUCUUCCAUAUGGACUUAAAGAGAAAAUAAGAAAGGAUAGAAUCUCCUUCCUUGUUAGCUGGACCUUCUGUAGUCAAGCAGGUCCUUUGGGAGAAAACUAGGCUGAAAAACACAGCGACAUCUGAUGGUUUGUUGACCUGAUUCACCCGUCCCAUUUGGAUAACGCCUGUGGUGGCUGACAGCUGAAAAAAGUCUCCACAAAGAAUCUUGUCCUGAAGUCUCAACUGAGCACUUUCUGGAAACAGGUAUUAAAGAAAAGUUUUUGCUGAAGAAGGAUCUUUACCUUGCGUGUAUUUGUUUAGUCUAUGCUUAUUAGACCUCAGAUUUCCUUAUGUUCCACGAAAAUGAUGAAGAUGUGUU